ensembl:lncRNA
GUUUGCUCUGCAGACUUGCCUGGAGAAUUGAGAUGGAAAACACUGCUAGUCAGCUGAUGCCAGUGACGGUUAACAAUGCUAACCCCAAUUACUCACAGUUGAGAGUUAAAAAGACAAGGAGAACAGCUGAAAUUCCUGAUUGACUGCUCGAGGGACUGGACACUGAAACAAUCUUUCCUCCGCUAGCUUAGCUGACAGGCAGAGAAAUAGAAGUGAAAGGGAAGACACCAAAUUACCAGGCACCUUUAUCUGCGCUCUCCCAGGUUGUGUGUGAUUGUACAUUAUGUGGGGUAAUGAUCAUGACUGCAGGCGAGUCUUUAUAUGCUAAAGUGUCUCCCUCUUUUAGGCCCGGGCCUGCAUCGUCGGCUGAGUGACUUUGAUCUGGCAAUCAGCAAGGUGGAGAAAAGGAAGAUGAGGAAAAUGCCAUUUUUAACAGCCUGCUUCGAUUUGAGGGAUGCAACUCGAGGAGCUUUUACAGUCAGACUACAUACCCACAAGUCAGUCAUGUCAGAGUCUGCGAUUUUCAACCCUACACUAGUCCCGAGGAGAAGUGUUCCAGCUCUACAGACCUCAGCAAGGAUUUUAAACAAUGACACCUCCACAAACAUCACAGCCACCACGGAAGACCCCACGAUCGGUAUGGCUUCCAGUGCUGAAUCAGUUUAUGCUGUUCUGUUGGGAGUCUCUGUAAUAGCAGCGGUUGUGAUUGUACUGCUAAUUAUGUUAGUGGUUCUCCGCUUCAUGGCACAUCAGAAAGGCACAUAUUACACCCACGAGGAGAGCUUGGCAUUUAAGAGCGACCCUGAGGUGCAGGAGGUCACCGAAGAUCCGGAAGAUCCAGAAGAAGAGGAGCCUUAGUAUCUUCUGGCAGGAAGCCUUUUGGGAAGUUUCCUGUGUGAAAUGUAUCACUGCGAGCGACAGAAGGAUCUGUCGUGGUUCCUCUUCCUUUUUAUUCUCCAAUCACAUAUGCCUUUUCCAACAGAUGUCCUUUUUUUGACAACUUCACACUCAACCAGUCCAAAACUAAAAUAGAUUUUCAUGUGGAGAAGCACUUAUUAUGUGUGCUAAUUAUUUCACAUUGUUUGUUACAGAGUACUUAAAUUGUUAAAAUGUGAGUUUUUUUAUACUGUAAACUUUUAGCUUCAUUAACAUAUUAAUGUCUCUAUGUAGAAUCUUUUAUAUCAAUAUACUAUUAAGUUAAUUGCAAAUAUUAAGUGUUUUUUUUUAUAAAUUAUUUAAUUUAUGCCAACUUUAGUUACUGGUUGACAUGUACCCGUAUCUCUUUGUAGAAUCUCCUAUGCAAAGAUUAAAACAUGAAUCAAACACUUCCACGUGACUCAUUAUCCAGGCGGUUGUCAAAAGUUACUCUGAAAGUUGUCAUCAUGUAUUCCAACUGUUUUGAAACAUCUGUAGUAAUUCAAAAAAUUUGCACAGGUGAAAGAAGAGUGAAAGAGCCUUUAGUAACUGUCCAUAUUUUGCUCAAUGAAAAUUCUGUCAUUUUUCACUCACCCUCAUGUCAUUCAAAACCCUCUUUUUUUCUGUGGAACACAACAUUAGACGUUAAACAGAAUGUUCAUUCUUCUUGGUUCCAUAUAGCAUAUAUAAAGUUCUAAAAAUGGAGUAAUGGUUGAUUAAAAUUCAGCUUUGUAUCACAGGAAUACAUUACAUUUUAAAAUAUAUUCCAAUACAAAACAGUCAUUUUAAAUUUUACUAAUAUUUCACAAAAAUACGGCUUUUAGUGUAUUUUUAAUUAAAUAAAUAAAGCCUUGGUGAGCA